rnacentral:rRNA from 1 species
CCUACGGGAGGCAGCAGUGAGGAAUAUUGGUCAAUGGCCGUAAGGCUGAACCAGCCAAGUAGCGUGAGGGAAGACUGCCCUAUGGGUUGUAAACCUCUUUUAUGCGGGGAUAAAGGUGGGCACGUGUGGAUGUUUGCAGGUACCGCAUGAAUAAGGAUCGGCUAAUUCCGUGCCAGCAGCCGCGGUAAUACGGAAGGUCCGGGCGUUAUCCGGAUUUAUUGGGUUUAAAGGGAGCGUAGGCGGGUCGUUAAGCGUGACGUGAAAGUUUGUGGCUCAACCAUGAGAGUGCGGUGGAUACUGGCGACAUUGAGUGCAGGGAAGGCAGGCGGAAUUCGUGGUGUAGCGGUGAAAUGCUUAGAUAUCACGAAGAACCCCGAUUGCGAAGGCAGCCUGCUGCAGCGUUACUGACGCUGAAGCUCGAAAGCGUGGGUAUCGAACAGGAUUAGAUACCCCUGUAGUC